GGGGAGGGUUCAUGGAUAUCCUUGCUUACACACUUCAUACCCACUCUGACCUUCUCAUCUCCGGACUGCACUCUCCUCUCUCUGAAUCACUUGUUUUUAAACAGUGAGACCAUGGGUGCACAGGAGUCUCUUAGUCAGGAGAAGACACUACUCUUAGCACCUCAUCUCUUCGGUGCCAUCACGCAAAACUACAUUAAUGUGGGCAUUGACGACUCCCUGAUGAGAUACUCUGGGAAAUACUCUACAGCCUGCCUAGAGGCGUACUCAUCCAGCCUGCAGGAAGAACUGAAGAGCAAACUCCCAGACUUUAUGGAGAAGGGCGGCGAUGCCCUGGCAGGAUUCAGUGCUGUGCCCCAUGCAGUGGGUGUGGGCGCCCUCAUUAUCUCUAUGAUCCUACAAGUGGUGUUCAUCGCCACAAAUGGCUCGCAGAAAAGCAGCGAUCCGAGCCCGAUGGACAUGCUGCGGCGCGUCUUUGCAGAAGAGACGGCCUCGGAGGUCCGUGACCUGAUGGAAGAAUACCUGAAGCGCUACGAGAUGCACCUGCGUGACAGCCGCCGGCUGCUGGCGGACUCGGAGCGGCUGGAGACGCAGCUGAGCUUGCAGCUCACCAGACUGCGCAACUCCAUCCUUCUGGACAAGAAGAUGAGCUCACGCGCCGUCAAGCACUGGGUCAACGGUGCAGCCUUCCAUGCGCAGAUGCUCGUCCACAUGGCCAGACUCCGGAAGAAGAUCGGGGAAUCAGGGACUCAGGACUUUGAGAGCACCAAGAGAGCGGGGAAAAGCGCUGUGGACACCUACCACAGAGAUGCAAUGACAAUACUGGAGAGAUACAAGGAGUACAAGAGUUCAACCUUUAUGUUGAAGUAUAGUACUACGGGUUGUUGGUUCACAGAUACUGACAUCAAUUAUGAAGCUCUUUUAUACUUUACGUAUUGUUGGGGAUCGGCAGACGCCUACCUGGAGUAUAUUUUCUCAAAUCACAAGCAACUGAGAGAAAUUAAAAUCUACUUUUCUAAUCUUCAGAAGAACCUUGAGGCUCUGGUUAACCAAGAAGGAACCUUCCAAAUAAAGCCUUGACGACAGCAACAUGACUAUGACGAAUUAAAUGACCACACCACUCAGAAUAAUUAUUCAAAUGAAUAGAAUUCACACAAUCAAUUUACUUACAAUGCGUAGCAAAUUAUCCUAUUUUUAACAUUUCCAGUGAGUAACCUGAG
rnacentral:lncRNA from 1 species